rnacentral:siRNA from 1 species
UCGAACGAAUAUUUUGCUCAGGC